rnacentral:rRNA from 1 species
GACGAACGCUGGCGGCGUGCUUAACACAUGCAAGUCGAACGGAAAGGCCUGCUUUCCCUUGUGGAUUGCGGGUACUCGAGUGGCGAACGGGUGAGUAACACGUGAGUGAUCUGCCCCCAACUUGGGUAUAAGCCUGGGAAACUGGGUCUAAUUCCCGAUAGGACUGCAGGGUGGUGCCUGUGGUGGAAAACGAUUUUCUAGUGGUUGGGGAUGAGCUCGCGGCCUAUCAGCUUGUUGGUGGGGUAAUGGCCUACCAAGGCGGCGACGGGUAGCCGGCCGGAGAGGGUGGACGGCCGCAUUGGGACUGAGAUACGGCGCAGACUCCUACGGGAGGCAGCAGUGGGGAAUAUUGCACAAUGGGCGGAAGCCUGAUGCAGCGACGCCGCGUGGGGGAUGACGGCCUUCGGGUUGUAAACUCCUUUCGACCGCGAGGAAGCCACCUGGUUGGAAGGGUGGUGACGGUAGUGGUAGAAGAAGCACCGGCUAACUACGUG